rnacentral:piRNA from 1 species
UGAUCGUCUGUGAAGAUGCUAGAUCUACUGA